GACGAACGCUGGCGGCGUGCCUAAUACAUGCAAGUAGAACGCACAGGAUGCACCGUAGUUUACUACACCGUAUUCUGUGAGUUGCGAACGGGUGAGUAACGCGUAGGUAACCUGCCUGGUAGUGGGGGAUAACUAUUGGAAACGAUAGCUAAUACCGCAUAAGAACAUUUACUGCAUGGUAGAUGUUUAAAAGGUGCAAAAGCAUCACUACCAGAUGGACCUGCGUUGUAUUAGCUAGUUGGUGAGGUAACGGCUCACCAAGGCAACGAUACAUAGCCGACCUGAGAGGGUGAUCGGCCACACUGGGACUGAGACACGGCCCAGACUCCUACGGGAGGCAGCAGUAGGGAAUCUUCGGCAAUGGGGGGGAACCCCUGACCGAGCAAACGCCGCGUGAGUGAAGAAGGUUUUCGGAUCG
rnacentral:rRNA from 1 species